ACUUCACAGGCAGCUUAAGGCCUGGAAUGUGGCUUAGACAAAUCUGGUCACCCUUGUGAUCUCCCUUGCGCAGUGGCAGCAGGAGAAGCCUGAGGGUGUCUGACCUGGAAUGACCCUCUUCUGUGUCCUGGUCUAGGAUGUGCCCGUGGGACACAAGCUUCCCUUUGCCCCAGUUUCAGCUAGCAGAGGCCAGAGGGCUAGGGGUGGGAAGAAACGGUGAAGAGAUGUGACUGAGUAAAGCAGGCGAGAGUUGGAGACAGAUCUUAGGAAGAACUUCCUGGCAUUGAUGGUUCUUUGAUAGGAGACUGGCCUUGUAUUUGUGAGAGAGAAAAGGGAAGCUUUGGAGGGCACGGACCUCAUCCCCACAGGGGCUGCAGAGCAGCUACUCUGAGGAAUAUCUGAGGAACCUCCUUUGCAGGAAGAAGCUGGGAAGCAGCUACCACACCUCCAAGCAUGGCUUCCUGUCCUGGGCCCGCGUCUGCUUGAGACACUGCAUCUACACUCCACAGCCAGGUAUGGGGUUGGGAGCUGAGGCCGAGCGUGACAGGGGACGUUACCCUCCCUUGCACAGAAUGGCUGCAGUGGAGGACUGGCUCCUGCUCCCCAGAAUCCUUGUCAUCAAGAGGGACAACUACCAGCUUGGGACAGCGGGAAGACCCUGGCCUGGCCUUGGUCAUUUAGGGUCCUGCUGGCCCUUUUCCUGGGCCCCUUGGGAGGGAGGAGGGCUCCCGGGCCUGAGUGGUGCUGUUCACCAUACUCCUUCCUUUGAGGACUACAGGAUUCCAUCUCCCGCUG
rnacentral:lncRNA from 10 species